rnacentral:misc_RNA from 1 species
CCAAUAGCGUAUAUUAAAGUUGUUGCAGUUAAAAAGCUCGUAGUUGAACUUCGGGAUCAAUUAGUUGGUCAUGCCUUGGUAUGUACUGAUUCUAUUGGUUCUCACCUUCUAAAGAACUAUAAUGUCAUUUAUUUGAUGUUAUAGGGAAUUAGGACUGUUACCUUGAAAAAAUUAGAGUGUUUAAAGCAGGCUCACGCUUGAAUACAUUAGCAUGGAAUAAUGAAAUAGGACAUCGCAUUCUAUUUUGUUGGUUUCUAGGAUCGAUGUAAUGAUUAAUAGGGAUAGUUGGGGGCAUUAGUAUUCAAUUGUCAGAGGUGAAAUUCUUGGAUUUAUUGAAGACUAACUACUGCGAAAGCAUUUGCCAAGGAUGUUUUCAUUAAUCAAGAACGAAAGUUAGGGGAUCGAAGACGAUCAGAUACCGUCGUAGUCUUAACCAUAAACUAUGCCGACUAGGGAUCGGAUGAUGUUGAUUUUUUAAUGACUCAUUCGGCACCUUACG